GAUGAACGCUGGCGGCGUGCCUAAUACAUGCCAGUCGAGCGAACAGACGAGGAGCUUGCUCCUCUGACGUUAGCGGCGGACGGGUGAGUAACACGUGGAUAACCUACCUAUAAGACUGGGAUAACUUCGGGAAACCGGAGCUAAUACCGGAUAAUAUAUUGAACCGCAUGGUUCAAUAGUGAAAGACGGUUUUGCUGUCACUUAUAGAUGGAUCCGCGCCGCAUUAGCUAGUUGGUAAGGUAACGGCUUACCAAGGCGACGAUGCGUAGCCGACCUGAGAGGGUGAUCGGCCACACUGGAACUGAGACACGGUCCAGACUCCUACGGGAGGCAGCAGUAGGGAAUCUUCCGCAAUGGGCGAAAGCCUGACGGAGCAACGCCGCGUGAGUGAUGAAGGUCUUCGGAUCGUAAAACUCCGUUAUUAGGGAAGAACAAAUGUGUAAGUAACUAUGCACGUCUUGACGGUACCUAAUCAGAAAGCCACGGCUAACUACGUG
rnacentral:rRNA from 1 species